GGUUUGAUUAUAAAGCUCAGAUUGAACGCUGGCAGGAUGCUUUACACAUGCAAGUCAGCAGCACGGACUUCGGUCUGGUGGCGAGUGGCGAACGGGUGAGUAAUGUAUCGGAACGUGCUAAUGGCGAGGAUAACUACGCGAAAGCGUAGCCGCAUACGCCCUUCGGGGGAAAGCGGGGGACCUUCGGGCCUCGCACUAUUAAACGGCCGAUAUCGGAUUAGCUAGUUGGUGGGGUAACGGCUCACCAAGGCGACGAUCCGUAGCUGGUUUGAAGGACGACCAGCCACACUGGGACUGAGACGGCCCGGGCUCUACGGGAGGCAGCAGUGGGGGAAUUUUGGACAAUGAAACACAGUCCAGCCAUCCGCGUGUGCGAUGAAGGCCUUCGGGUUGUAAAGCACUUUUUGGCAGCGGAAAAAGAAACGGCACGGGAUAAUACCCCGUGCAACUGACGGCCUGCAGAAUAAGCACCGGCUAACUACGUGCCAGCAGCCGCGGUAAUACGUAGGGUGCAAGCGUUAAUCGGAAUUACUGGGCGUAAAGCGUGCGCGAACGGUUCGGAAAGAAGAGAUGUGAAAUCCCAGAGCUUAACUUUGGAACUGCAUUUUUAACUACCGAGCUAGAGUGUGUCAGAGGGAGGUGGAAUUCCGCGUGUAGCAGUGAAAUGCGUAGAUAUGCGGAGGAACACCGAUAGCGAAAACGGCUUCUGGGAUAACACUGACGCUCAUGCACGAAAAGCGUGGGGAGCAAACAGGAUUAGAUACCCUGGUAGUCCACGCCCUAAACGAUGUCCGCUAGCUGUUGGGGCCUUCGGGCCUUGGUAGCGCAACUAACGCGUGAAGUUGACCGCCUGGGAAAUUACCCAAGAUUAAAACUCAAAGGAAUUGACGGGGACCCGCACAAGCGGUGGAUGAUGUGGAUUAAUUCGAUGCAACGCGAAAAACCUUACCUACCCUUGACAUGUCUGGAAUCCCGAAGAGAUUUGGGAGUGCUCGCAAGAGAACCGGAACACAGGUGCUGCAUGGCUGUCGUCAGCUCGUGUCGUGAGAUGUUGGGUUAAGUCCGCAACGACGCAACCCUUGUCAUUAGUUGCUACGAAGAGGCACUCUAAUGAGACUGCCGGUGACAAACCGGAGGAAGGUGGGGAUGACGUCAGAGUCCUCAUGGCCUUAUGGGUAGGGCUUCACGUCAUACAAUGGUCGGGACAGAGGUCGCCAACCCGCGAGGGGAGCCAAUCCCAGAAACCCGAUCGUAGUCCGGAUCGCAGUCUGCAACUCGACUGCGUGAAGUCGGAAUCGCUAGUAAUCGCGGAUCAGCAUGUCGCGGUGAAUACGUUCCCGGGUCUUGUACACGCCGCCCGUCACACCAUGGGAGUGGGUUUUACCCGAAGUAGUUAGCCUAACCAAGGAGGGCGAUUACCACGGUAGGAUUCAUGACUGGGGUGAAGUCGUAACAAGGUAA
rnacentral:rRNA from 1 species